AGUGAACGCUGGCGGCAGGCCUAACACAUGCAAGUCGAGCGGCAGCGCGUCCGACCACCCUCGGGUGGUCGGAUGGCGGCGAGCGGCGGACGGGUGAGGAAUGCAUCGGAAUCUGCCUCGUUGUGGGGGAUAACGUAGGGAAACUUACGCUAAUACCGCAUACGACCUACGGGUGAAAGUGGGGGACCUUCGGGCCUCACGCGAUGAGAUGAGCCGAUGCCGGAUUAGCUAGUUGGCGGGGUAAUGGCCCGACCAAGCCUUAGACGGGUAGCGGGUGUGAGAGCACGGCCCGCAACAUCGGAACUCGAGACACUGUCCGGACUCCUACGGGAGGCUGCAGUAACGAAUCUUCCGCAAUGGGCGCAAGCCUGACGGAGCAAUGCCGCGUGCGGGAUGAAGUAUCUCUGGUAUGUAAACCGCUGUCAGGGGACGGAAACAAUGAUUGUCCCCAGAGGAAGUGGCGACUAACUCUGUGCCAGCAGCCGCGGUAAGGUA
rnacentral:rRNA from 1 species